rnacentral:hammerhead_ribozyme from 1 species
UACCAGAAGAGACCCAGAACAGGUCAAAACAUGUGUCGUA